UAGACUGCCUAUUUCCUCUUCAUUUGUUUGGUCUGGCUGCAGGUUCGUAGUUCCUGUUGUUUUUGGUGUCUGCUCCCAGUGGGUGGAUAUCCAGUUUUCCCAUCGCCAUUUGUUAAAAGACUGUCCUCCAACCAUUAAAAGUUCUUGGCAUCCUACAAAGUAGUAAAAUGAAGUCAUAAAAAUUACAGAACUAAAAGUAUACAGGAAAAAAAAAAGGAAAAUGGAAAGAAAGAACAAACAGGACAAACAGAAAACAAAUAGCCAAAAUGUAAAAUUUAAAUCUACCAGGUCACAUCAGAUGUAAGUUGUCUAAGCAUCUCAAUUAAAGGCAGAAAUAGAAUGGAUAAAAAAGAAGGAUCCUGGGGCUUCCCUGG